rnacentral:miRNA from 1 species
AGGGGGACCAGCCAUCUUGGUUUGCCUGUGACUGAGGGACUUCCUGGGAUGUGGGACUUUCAGCUGUAAAGUCUAGACUGUC